GCAGAAUACAACAAUUAACGACCUACCACUCCACCCCACCUUCACCUCCUUGCUCAACCAUGAAGAUAUGGCAGCUUGUGAUGAUCCAUCUUCUCACUCAUACCCUCCUUUUCUUCACACCCAGCUCUCAGCCCACGAACAACCAAACUAGCAACUACGGCGUCGAUCUCCCUGUGCUCCUAUCAUUCAAAUCCUUCAUAACAAGUGACCCUACACGGGCACUGUCCUCUUGGUCUUGGGACCCUGCCGGCAACGGCACGAGCACGGCGUCAUUGCCUGUCUACUGCGAGUGGGUGGGCGUAGCAUGCAGCAACCGCCGGCACCCUGGCCAUGUCACUGCCAUACGCCUGCAGGGUAUCGGCCUGGCCGGCACCAUCUGCCCGCAGCUCGGUAACCUGACUCACCUCCGUGUCCUCGAUCUUUCAGCCAACAACCUGGCAGGUGAGAUCCCAGGCAGCCUAGGUCGUUGUACAUCACUUCAUGCCUUGGAUCUGGGGGUGAACUACCUCUCUGGUUCCAUGCCUGCUUCUCUGGGUCUCCUAUCAAAGCUUACAUUUCUCAACGUCACCCAUAACAAUCUGACCGGUGAUAUUCCUAUGCCAUUCUCCAACCUCUCAGCCCUUUCAAACCUUAGUAUGUCAAGCAACCACUUCCAUGGCCAAAUCCCAAGCUGGCUGGGCAACCUGACAUCAUUGACACACUUGGAAUUAGCCCAAAACGGCUUGACUGGCCAUGUUCCUCCAGGUUUAGCAUGCUACUUUAUGAAGACAAGAACCAAAGCAAAUGACGUUGAUCAAAGAAUCAUAUUUCACAAUGAGAGAAUAUCCUAUGCUGAGAUAGAUGCAGCAACCAAUUCAUUCUCACCGGCAAAUUUGAUAGGUUCCGGAAGUUUUGGGAACGUGUACGUCGGAAAUCUUCUUCUUAAUGAGAGUUUGGCUACUGUAGCAAUCAAGGUUCUCAAUCUUGCCAGACGAGGAGCUAGUAGAAGCUUCUUGAGAGAGUGCAAUGUGCUAAGGAGGAUUCGACACCGGAAUCUUGUCAAGGUGAUCACUGUAUGCAGUGGUGUGGACCAUAAUGGUGACGAAUUCAAGGCACUUGUCCUGGAAUUUAUUUGCAACGGAAAUCUAGAUGAGUGGCUGCAUCCAAACACAACGACUAAGAGCACUAGGGCCUUUAGAAGGCUAAGUUUAAUGGAAAGGCUAUGCAUUGCUCUUGAUGUUGCAGAGGCUUUGGAGUAUCUUCACCAUCAAAUUGAGCCAUCGAUAGUUCACUGUGAUAUCAAACCAUGCAACAUCCUUCUAGAUGAUGACAUUGUCGCGCAUGUUACCGACUUUGGUCUAGCAAAGAUUAUGCGUACCGAAGAAUGCAAGCAAAGUGGUGGUGGAACUGAAAGUAGCUCAUUUGUGAUUAAAGGCACAAUUGGAUACGUCGCACCAGAGUAUGGCUCGGGAUCUGAAGCCUCCACAGAUGGUGACGUAUAUAGCUACGGUGUGUUGCUAUUGGAAAUAUUUACUGCAAGAAGGCCAACUGACAAUUUCAUAGAUGGUGUGACAAGUCUUGCCAACUAUGUCAAGAUGGCCUAUCCUGAUAAGCUACUGGAAAUAAUGGAUGUUAGGGCAACCUACAGCGGAGACAUGCAAAGUAUCACAGACAUAUUCUUAUAUCCUAUAUUUAAGCUUGGCCUAGCUUGCUGUGUGGAUUCCCCAAGACACAGAAUAAAGAUGAACGACGUAGUCAAGGAAUUGAACACCAUAAAGAAGGCAUGCACAGCUCAUAUGUCUGUCCAUGAAUUUUGAGCAACUACCUAACCCGAGUGAGCAUUGACGUGUUACGAUCAUCUCUACAGCUCUGCAUCCCUGUGGCAUUGUGUUUGUUACUUGUUAGGGGUAAUAACUAAUAAGGGUAGCACCCAAGUGUGAGGGUGAUACCCGUAUGAGGUAGUACCCAGUUAGUGUGUGUUUGGUUACGGACAGUUAUGGUAUUCCGAAUAUUCUAGGUUUGUAUUUUGUCAUGUCAUGUACUUCCUCCGUUCAUUAUUAUAAGAUGUUCUAUUUCCUAAUUUGGAUGUAUAUACACGCAUUUGUGUUUUUGUUCAGUCAUUUUCCG
rnacentral:rRNA from 1 species